UACGUAGGGCGCGAGCGUUGUCCGGAAUUAUUGGGCGUAAAGAGCUCGUAGGCGGCUUGUCACGUCGGGUGUGAAAGCCCGGGGCUUAACCCCGGGUCUGCAUUCGAUACGGGCUAGCUAGAGUGUGGUAGGGGAGAUCGGAAUUCCUGGUGUAGCGGUGAAAUGCGCAGAUAUCAGGAAGAACACCCGUGGCGAAGGCGGCUCUCUGGAACGCAACUGACGCUGAGACGCGAAAGCGUGGGGAGCAAACAGG
rnacentral:rRNA from 1 species